GUCGCGGUGGCUAAAUGAUAAAGCGCUUGGCUUCCGAACCGGGGGUCCCAGGUUCAAAUCCCGGCCAAGACU
rnacentral:tRNA from 1 species